rnacentral:lncRNA from 1 species
GCAUUUGACCGCUCCUCCCUCCGCGUUGGAGGCGGAAUAGUGGGUUUUGCUGCAACCGGUUUAUUUUCCUUCUGUUUUCACCCAUUCUGGCACAAUCUGGCGCCAUCGUCCUUCUUGUGAGGCCAAGCCUGAAAAUGCGAAGCAGAGAGGCAGGACCAAAAUUGAGGCGAAUCCAGGAACCUGCCAAUGGGUCUCCGGGUGCGGUCUCUGAAACUGGAGGAUAUCGGGAGGAAAGGCUCUCCGAUGCGGAGAUAAUGGGGAAGCUCUUGGCAUGGUUGGCUGUAGGUAUGUGAUACCGGAGGAGCAGGAGUCAAAUAGGAUACGCCGACUUUUAAUUCAAGGAACCCUUUUCUGAAACACUUUGCCACAAUGAAGGAAAUAAGAUUACAGCCGAAGAUACAUAUUAAGGAAUUGUACUCUCAGAGAUGUUGAGAAAAGAUACAUGGGUCUUGGAAGAUAAUUACUCAAAAUAUGCAGGGAAGGUAGUAUAUCUUUCUAUUUUAAAUGUAUUAAGUAUUCCUGGAACUAUAGCAGUGAGUUGGAAAUGG